GACGAACGCUGGCGGCGUGCUUAACACAUGCAAGUCGAACGGAAAGGCCUCUUUCGGGGGGUACUCGAGUGGCGAACGGGUGAGUAACACGUGAGUAACCUGCCCUUGACUUUGGGAUAACUUCAGGAAACUGGGGCUAAUACCGGAUAGGAGCUCCUGCUGCCUGGUGGGGGUUGGAAAGUUUCGGCGGUUGGGGAUGGACUCGCGGCUUAUCAGCUUGUUGGUGGGGUAGUGGCUUACCAAGGCUUUGGCGGGUAGCCGGCCUGAGAGGGUGACCGGCCACAUUGGGACUGAGAUACGGCCCAGACUCCUACGGGAGGCAGCAGGGGGGAAUAUUGCACAAUGGGUGGAAGCCUGAUGCAGCAACGCCGUGUGCGGGAUGACGGCCUUCGGGUUGUAAACCGCUUUCGCUCAUGACGAAGCUUUGUGUGACGGUAGUGGGUAAAGAAGCACCGGCUAACUACGUG
rnacentral:rRNA from 1 species